UACGUAGGGUGCAAGCGUUGUCCGAGAUUAUUGGGCGUAAAGAGCUCGUAGGCGGUUUGUCGCGUCUGCUGUGAAAACCCGAGGCUCAACCUCGGGCCUGCAGUGGAUACGGGCAGACUAGAGUGCGGUAGGGGAGAUUGGAAUUCCUGGUGUAGCGGUGGAAUGCGCAGAUAUCAGGAGGAACACCAAUGGCGAAGGCAGAUCUCUGGGCCGUAACUGACGCUGAGGAGCGAAAGCAUGGGGAGCGAACAGG
rnacentral:rRNA from 1 species